UUAAAUAUUUCUUCUCUUCAUUGAAAUUCAAUAGAGUCGAUUAUAUUAAUUAAUUCGAUAAUCGAUGAACGAUGGCACCACCGGUAAUAAUACGACUUUAAUCAAAUUUUUGUGAAAACCAAUCAGAUUAAUUGCAAGAUUCAAUCUUAUUGGUUAACCAAUAAAAAUUAAGAAAUCAUUUCGAAAUGCGAGUGAUCUUAUUGGUUCAUUUUAAUUUGAAUGUUUCAUUGGAUUAAUUAGGACAAUUACAGUAUACUUUAUGGUGUAAUAAUAUUCAAACUUACUUUGGAAAAAUCGGUUGCUUCUCGGAUAAACUUUGUCUUCUUCUGUCUCUGUAACCAAUAUCCCUGUAAUUUGAAAAUGAUUGAAUUAGCAUUUACGAAUAGAACGUGGGUGUUAUUCUCAAUGGGAGUGACACUUUUACCAAGAUGUCAAUCUAGGAUAACAAUAUUGUUAAUAAAGUAUGGCACCAGAAAGUAACCACUCUAAAUUUUGGUGUUAGACACGGAAGACAAGUUGAACUAGUUAUUAAAUUCGAUAUGCAUAUGGAGGUUGUAUAAAUUGAAGUACGUUCGGUUCAUUCAUUCAUUACUUGAAUCUUAAUAAAGCUUUCUCUAUCAAGUACAUUGGAAUACUUGAUACAUGUUAAUUAUGUCAUUGAAUUUAUUUUCAACAUCUAUAUUAUUGCUACUAAUAUUAACGGGGAUAUUUUAAUAUGGUAAUCCAAGACAUACGUGUUUAAUACUGUGUGUAUUAGAACAACAAAGUUUAGGCAAACUUAUGUUAGAAAAUACUUUGCAUGGUGGUGGAUAAAACUCCUGUUAUAAACAACUGUUUUUCGUGAGAAUUAAGAAGAGAAAGAUGUUAAGAUCUUGCGAUCUUGAUUUUUUCGUGGCAAAGGAUCACAAAGGGUCACUCGAGCGAGUCUAAGAUCUUGAGAAAAAUCCAAAUGAGCGAAUAACAACGGAACCUGUUCUAACGAUCGGACUGCUACUUCAUUAUGUUUGAAAAAAUAAAAGGAAGAAGAUAAGAGAGAGAGAAAGAGAAAUAUUAUACGAUUUUACGAUGGCGAGAAGAUCAUCUUUAAAUGAAGAAGAUUUGGCAAGAUACGUUUUAUUAAGUGCGGAUCUAAUUGACAAGUUCGAUCCAAGCAACAAUGAGUUUAAUCGGUGGCAGCCGAAAUUUAUUAAAACGAUGGAAGUACUUAAUGUUCCCGAAUAUAUGAAAGUGCCUUUCUUAUUAGAAUUAGUUGAACCACAUGUUUUAGUCGAAGUUAGAAAUAUAACAGGUGUAAAUGAGCUCCAGGAGUUAACAUAUGAAAAGCUUGCAAGUUUAUUGCAAAGUCUUUUCAAAUAUAUUACACUAGACGUUUUGUUUACUAAAACAUUCUACAACCGAACCCAAAAAGCGAAUGAAGGAGCAGUGAAAUUUUUGAAAUCGCUUCAAGAGAUUGCAGAUAUUUGCAAAUUUAAUGCCCUUAGAGAUGAGUUCAUAAUAUCACAAUUUAUAAAAGGUAUGAGAUGCAAAGAUGUACAAGUUAUUAUUAGGAAAAUAAUGACCAUCCUAAGUAUCAAAGACAUGGAACGUAUUGCCGAAGCAAUAGACAAAUAUGAACAAUCAGAGUCGAAAAAUGAUGGACAAUGUUUAUCCUCUGUUUUACAACAACUUAACAUUCCUUUCAACUAAUUUUUUUCUACUAAAUAUUAUAAGAUGUUUUAUUAAAUAUUGUAUUAUUUGGUGCUACAUUGAACACUUUGAGUAGAAUUUGAUUUAUCGUUUAAUAGGUAGGAUAAUAAGUAAGAAAGAAGGUGUAGUACUCAAACGAUCGAUCACUCUCUCACGUUGGAAUUAUCGAAGGUAUCAAAUCGCAAUGGUGGUGGUGGUGGUGGUGGUGGUGCCUCGUUGGUGCCUCGUUGAUGCCGAAGCGUGGCCCCCAUGAGAGUCGAAAAGCAGCCUCGGGAAAAGAGAAGCUUGUUGUAGACAGUGUCGAUGGGGCUUUUGCUAGUAGGAGGAUCCAACCCAUUAGUUACCUUAGCCGCUCGUCAAACAUGCCUCGUCUGCAUACGUAAUGUGAGUUCAUAAUGUUGAACCACGUCUCACGUCUCACGUCUCACGUCUCACGUCUCACGUCUAGCGCCUAAAAUCUACUUUGUUUCUUUUUAUAUUCUUUCAUUCAUAAUUACAACUACCAACAUACUUAAAUUACAUAAAGCAUAAUUAAUUACCAAAUGUCCAAGUGAAAGUUCAUUUAUGUAAAUUUAACUUUCAAAUUCUUCAUCAAUCACAUUGAAACAUUUUGAAUCAUGUAUUUCCUGUUUUUCUCCUUAACUAGAUCUUUGAAACUUAAUCAAAAACUAUAGAUACACUUUUUAUCUACAUAUGUUACGUAGCUACUUUAUUAUGAGUACUACAUACAAAUACACAUAUACACACACACACAUAUAUAUAUAUAUAUACAUACAUUAUCUAUAUACGAUCUAACCUCAUUAUCUUUCCAAGUUUCAUUUAUUUUUACAUCGUUAACGCGACACGUGUACUACAAUUAUACAGGGUGUCUUAAAAGAAACUAGUCCAAAAAUUGUUAACCAUUUCACUUGUUGAUUGUUGUAUAUUUCUGUUGAUUGUUGUCUCGCUAAAUUUCAGGACACCCUAUGCGUAAAUAUAUAAUUUAACUAUAGUUAGGAAUGACGGAAGACGUUCAAUAAAGAUAAUUGUAGAUCUUAACGAUUUAUUCCAAGACCUCGGAUCUCUGUCACUGUGCAUCUACCAUACAUGUAACCAAUCGAUUAUGGUAUUUACUAGAUUGUAACUGCUAUGGUAAAAAUUGGACUCGAUAUCGAUUGCUUCAUGACUACCUCAGGAUGAUAUAAUUUGACGUUCCUUUCCAUGAUUUAUUAUAACGAUUCUCUAACUUCAUCCUCUUCUAACUUUUAUUCAAAGAUAAUCUUUGUCGGUACUAUAAUCUCAAGCCCUUUUUCCUAUCGUACAUGAAAAUCUAAGCGGGAUUCGUUCGAUCAUGAUCAACUACAAUUCCCCCAUAGAUUGCGAACAUUAUAUAUCUUCAAUUUGAUUUAUUUUUAUUUGAUCUAUUAAUUUUUUGUCUUUAAAAAUCGUUUUUUAUACUAAGACGUUUCAAUCUAUUGCGUGAAUUAUUCUACAAGAUAUUUAUACUUUUGCAAAUGAUUAUAAGUUUCUUCUAUGAUUUUUCAUUUUUUUUUUUUUUUAUAUCAAAAUAAUAUUUAAAAUCGAUGAUACCCUUCAACCUGAAUAUAUUCUAUAAUAUUUCAAAGAAGUCGUGAUAAAUAUCCUUGAUAAUUCUACCAUAUGAGAGAUAAUAUGUUGAAGAUGUGCUCAAGUAUUCAUUUCGAUGAAAUUGUAACACGCCAGUAUUAAAUUCAUCGAUCCUAUUUUUCUAAAUAAUAAAUUAUACUUGACAGAAAAAUACUACAGAUAGAAGAAAUAAUCAGAACAAUUUUGUUCAUUUUAUAAUACCCUAAGUAGAAAAUUAUAAUUAAACACGAACGAUUGAACUAUGUUGAAUGAAAAGUCAUGAAAAUAACAUUUAUACUAA